ACAGUAGUGGUUCAGUGGUAGAAUUCUCUCUUUCCAUGUGGGAGACCUGGGUUCGAUUCCCAGCCAAUGCA
rnacentral:tRNA from 1 species